UACGUAGGGGGCAAGCGUUGUCCGGAAUUAUUGGGCGUAAAGAGCGCGUAGGCGGUCCGGUAAGUCAGCUGUGAAAGUCAAGGGCUCAACCCUUGAAAGCCGGUUGAUACUGUCGGGCUAGAGUCCGGAAGAGGCGAGUGGAAUUCCCGGUGUAGCGGUGAAAUGCGCAGAUAUCGGGAGGAACACCAAUGGCGAAGGCAGCUCGCUGGGACGGUGCUGACGCUGAGGCGCGAAAGCGUGGGGAGCAAACAGG
rnacentral:rRNA from 1 species